UUUAUCAUUGUUGUCAUCUAUGAGGUUAAUGGCUAGCUAAAUAGUAUGUGUUGGGAAGGAGGAUGUGUUUGACUGCGUGUCAUGACAUAGAUUUUUAGCCCAUACGUAGAUCGUUAACUACUACGGUGUUAGCUACAAGAACAGAAGUUGGCUAAAAGUUGUGCAUUUAGCCUCCUCCUGCCUGGAUGUUAGAGCUGUGAUGGUGGUGUGUCCCCUGCCUUCAUUGUGACUCGUGUCCACCACCUUCCUCUCCUUGCCCAGUGUGUGUGCCACCAUUUCACCAUGACCCUGCAUCUUCUCCUCGUCCUGUCCCCUGUCCUUGGGCUCCUGGUGCUACCUUGUCUGUCAUCCCAUGUGGCCAGCCAGUUCAGCAUUGUGGCCAGCCAGACAAUGACAGAGCAAACCCAUUGCUCUGAAGCAUGCUCACUCAAUAUGACAUGUGAUCAUGCUGUCUUUUGGAAAGAGAAGUCCACCUGCUUUUUCUUGACAUGUCCAAAUUGCACCAACUGUAGCAGUAUCGCCAUCGCUGACCUGAUAAGGGAACAAGAAACAGACAUCAGUGUUUUUAAGAGAGACGCUAAACAUGUCACUCAGUCUUCAAGUUCCGUAACUCCGUCAGAAAGCCAACAUAAGAACUCUACUGCGCAUAAAUUGACAGUCAGUAAUAAUACCAAUCAAACUACACAAAACUCUGCCCUCAAUGAGACUGGCUCUACCUCACAGCACAGCGAUGCUGGUCAGGCUCCAACUGCUGGAGACUCUCCUGAUGUCUUAACUGCAUCUACCAUGAAUGCAGCACCUUUGCCAGCUCCCGAGAAUGACACAGCAACUACACUAUCUGAGACAUCCCACAAGUCAAAGGUCCAAAGUCCAGUAACAACCACAGCCACUUCAGUAAAGCUGGAAUCUAUUACUGUUAUCACUCCACCAGCCAUCACACAGAUAAUGACAAUAACGGAAUCAGAAACCACAGCAACCACCACUAUGACUACUACCACCACAACAGCAAUGCCAUCUACUACCAAUACCACCACAACAGCAAUGCCAUCUACUACCAAUACCACCACAACACAACCAACUACCACCAAAACAACAAUACCAACAACUGCCACCACAAUAAAAACAACAGCAUUACCGUCAACUACCACUCCAAAAACAACCACCACCGCAGACACGCCUACAGAUAAGGAGAAGAAGCCGUCACCAACCAUUCCGGAGGCCGCCAGCUCUCAAGCUACCUCCGGAAAUACCAUGGUUCCUUCAACCGCCACUGCUGAGGUCAGCACAAAAAGGCUGGACGACGACACCAACAGAGCCAUUAUAGAUGUUGUUGCCGGCGAGAU